rnacentral:piRNA from 1 species
UCCUGCUAUGCUUCAGCUCCUGCCCAAUC